rnacentral:tRNA from 1 species
GAGGGUCUAGCUCAAGUGGUAGAGCAUAUGCUUAGCAUGCACGAGGUCCUGGGUUCAAUCCCCAGUACCUCCU